rnacentral:lncRNA from 1 species
GGGUCGGUUUUUACAGUAAAAAACUGAGAUAUGUUGGUAUUGAGAUAUAGUCGGUAUUUUGGCUUUUAUAGUGAAAGUCAAAAUAUAGUCGAUAUGUCAGUUUUUAUAGUAAAAAAUUAGAAUAUAGUCGAUAGAAAUUGACCAUCCAUUUAUCGGUCUAAAAUCACUUUGCAGUUAGUCGAAGCUUUGUGAUUCUGAAAUUCAAUAUUUCAAUUUGAAUACUGUACAUAUG